rnacentral:rRNA from 1 species
ACGAACGCUGGCGGCGUGCCUAAUACAUGCAAGUCGUGCGGACCUUUUAAAAGCUUGCUUUUAAAAGGUUAGCGGUGGACGGGUGAGUAACACGUGGGCAACCUGCCUGUAAGACUGGGAUAACGCCGGGAAACCGGGGCUAAUACCAGAUCGUUUUUUCCUCCGCAUGGAGGAAAAAGGAAAGGCGGCUUCGGCUGCCACUUACAGAUGGGCCCGCGGCGCAUUAGCUAGUUGGCGGGGUAACGGCCCACCAAGGCAACGAUGCGUAGCCGACCUGAGAGGGUGAUCGGCCACAUUGGGACUGAGACACGGCCCAAACUCCUACGGGAGGCAGCAGUAGGGAAUCUUCCGCAAUGGACGAAAGUCUGACGGAGCAACGCCGCGUGAGUGAAGAAGGCCUUCGGGUCGUAAAACUCUGUUGCCGGGGAAGAACAAGUGCCGUUCGAACAGGGCGGCGCCUUGACGGUACCCGGCCAGAAAGCCACGGCUAACUACGUG